rnacentral:rRNA from 1 species
GAUGAACGCUGGCGGCGUGCCUAAUACAUUCAAGUCGAGCGAACAGACGAGGAGCUUGCUCCUCUGACGUUAGCGGCGGACGGGUGAGUAACACGUGGAUAACCUACCUAUAAGACUGGGAUAACUUCGGGAAACCGGAGCUAAUACCGGAUAAUAUAUUGAACCGCAUGGUUCAAUAGUGAAAGACGGUUUUGCUUUCACUUAUAGAUGGAUCCGCGCCGCAUUAGCUAGUUGGUAAGGUAACGGCUUACCAAGGCAACGAUGCGUAGCCGACCUGAGAGGGUGAUCGGCCACACUGGAACUGAGACACGGUCCAGACUCCUACGGGAGGCAGCAGUAGGGAAUCUUCCGCAAUGGGCGAAAGCCUGACGGAGCAACGCCGCGUGAGUGAUGAAGGUCUUCGGAUCGUAAAACUCUGUUAUUAGGGAAGAACAAAUGUGUAAGUAACUAUGCACGUCUUGACGGUACCUAAUCAGAAAGCCACGGCUAACUACGUG